rfam:Stegodyphus mimosarum contig9942, whole genome shotgun sequence.
GCCUUCCUGGUGUAGUGGUCAGCACGCUCGACGCGUAACCGAGAGGUCCGUGGUUCGAUUCCCGGCGAAGGCG